AACUAUCUUUAGAAGCAUGACAACCAUGGCAUUCACUAAUGCACAGCAACCGCAGUGACCUCACCAGACUGAGCCCUCCGGCAUUCAGUCAUGGGUGAGGGACAGGCCCGUGGGACCAUUCCCCACCCGACCCAGGGGAGCUAAUGGCCGUUGAAGGCUGCUGAGAGAGAGAGGAAGUCCUUGUAGCCACUGUGUGAAGUCAGCAGCUUUGAAAACCAUUGUCUGUUAGAGAGAGUGAUGGGAAGAUGUCAUCUGAGGUCACUCAACCCAGCUCCAGCAGCUGCUUAGAAUGGCUAUCCAGUUCCCGAUUCCCUCUGUUAACCAAGAUUGUGAGAAGCUCAUCAAACAGCUCACCUCUGCCUCAUUCACUGCAGUUAUUCACACUCACCAAGGACCACAAACACCCAGAUGUGUGUUGACAAGGAGUCCUGUCUGCCUGUGGCCCUCCAGAAUUCUGAACGGACUUGAAAAUUAUGGUCAGAGUCCACCGGAAUUUGAAGAAAAGGAAUAAAGCGAUUGUGAAAGCUGUUGGCUAUUAUUCUUGUUAGCUUGCUCAUGUAGAAUAUUUUCAAUUAAAUAAGCACAAGUGUGUUUCCCCAAAGGAAGUGACAGCUAAGUCAUUGGAGGGAACAAACAUCCAGUCACAGUAACUCUCUGAAAGUUUGCCCUCCACCUCUGAAAGGCUUCUGUUCUGCUAGAAUCUCCCACUUAUCAUGUAAGAGAAAAUUUGUCAUGGUGGAAACAGGCCCCUUUGAUUCUAAAAGAAAUCAAGGACCCUUUCUCAGAUUACCCAGACCAAAUCCUACAUUAGUGGCAGACAGAAGAGCCACAGGGUCUAUCUUUAACAGAUCCUGACGACCAAUAAGGCUAGUAGUCUCUGCAGACAGCUUGCUCCAGGAUCCUGUCUCUGCCUCCCCAAGCUGGAAUUACAGGAGGGCUGUUAUACUCACCUGGAAUUUACAUGAGUCCUGGGGUUCCGAACACUGGUCCCCUUGCGUUGGGGGCAAGCACUUGAACUUCUGAGCCAUCUCUCUAGCCCAAGAUUAGUAUUUUUGAUUGAUUAAGGGAAUCCUAAAACAUGCAACCAAAGUGGUGACCUUGCUUGCUUCUCUCUCUUGGCCCUGGAGUGAGGUAACAGCACGAAAUGCUUGCUCCUCUUUUAACCAUUGCUCUCAAAAUGUACGGGUAUAAAAACUAGCCUUCAAAAAUAAAUAGGAGAUUGAAAAAAUA